AUUUGUCUUUUAAUUAAGGUCUAGAAUGAAUGGUUGAACGAGAAAUUAACUUUUUUAAUUAAAUUUUUAUGAAUUUUAUUUUUUAGUAAAAAAGCUAAAAUUUAUUUAUGUGACGAUAAGACCCUAUAAAAUUUUAUUUUCAAAUAUUUAUUUAUUAAUUAGUUUUAUAACAAUAUUUAUUUAUUUUGUUAAUUUGGUUGGGGCGAUUAUUUUAUUUUUAAAACUAUAAUUUAUAUUAAAUCAUUAAUUUAUGAAUUUAUGAUCCUAAAAUUUAGAUUAUAAGAAUAAAUUACUUUAGGGAUAACAGCGUAAUUUUCUUGGAGAGUUCUUAUUAAUAAGAAAGAUUGCGACCUCGAUGUUGGAUUAAAAUAAAGUUGUGGUGUAGAAGCUACUAUUUUAAGUCUGUUCGACUUUUAAAAUUUUAC
rnacentral:rRNA from 1 species